GGACGAGUAUUCUGCCAAAUAGAGAUCUGAUUCGAUCUUUGGUUGUGCUCAUUAUCAGCCAUGGCGAAAUUAAAUGGAAACAUAAAAUCACGUAACGAUCAAAUGGUUCCUCUGCAUCAAAUGGCGUAUCUGCUGUAUGUGCAGUCCAAAAUUCAUGCUGGGCAAUUAUCUUGGAAAUUUCAAUAACUAGAAAGGGAGCGUGGUUUUGAAGUACCUUGUCGGGCAGUUCCAGCAUGUUGGCCAUCUCUGUUCGGAAAUCAAUUUCCCCGUGACAUCUAAUCUGUAAGAGAAUAUGAAAUUGGGAAGGAGAUGGUAUUCAUACAUACUCCAAGAUGAGUCCAACUCAACGUUAGAAAACUACUGAAAAAAACUCAUCCAUAAUCUGAUAGAGGGCCAAUGUGAUUUGGUCUCUGUCCCUCGCGCAUUUGCUGUCACCUAUCUGUGCUGACGAGGUAGUACCGUGGAUCACCAUUGUGGCAUUCAGUAGACCAUUCCAUGACAUUAUGGAUCUGGAAUCAUCAGGCGUACAAUAAUCAGUUCUUAUUAUUAACUAGGGAGCAAAAUGUUAACCUAUAUUUGCAGACUCAUCUAAACUGGUUGUAGGAUAUGGAUCAGGCGUACAACAAUCAGUUCUUAUUAUUAACUAGGGAGCAAAAUGUUAACCUAUAUUUGCAGACUCAUCUAAACUGGUUGUAGGAUAUGCAUAAAUAACAUGCUGAUGCUUACUUGGAAGGAUAUUUUGGCAAAUGAACACUGGUAAAGCGUCAACCCCAGCAUCAAGGGUAGCAUGUAGCACGCCAAUCUUAAGCCAUUGACAAAACAUGAGUAAAUGAUUGACAAUAAGACAUGAGUUGACUGAGCCACCAUACCAACCCGAGUCUCUCAGAUUGAAGUGGGUCCACUCGUUAAAUUCCAAUUCAAGUCUCCUUGUUUAGUUGGAACCCAAGCUGGCUCAAAAUUGAAGUUCAGGCC
rnacentral:lncRNA from 1 species